GUGGAUUAGAUACCCUGGUAGUCCACGCUGUAAACGAUGAAUGCUAGACGUGGUAGGUCUUGACCCCUGCCGUGUCGAAGUUAACACGAUAAGCAUUCCGCCUGGGGAGUACGGUCGCAAGACUAAAACUCAAAGGAAUUGACGGGGGCCCGCACAAGCGGUGGAUCAUGUGGUUUAAUUCGAAGCAACGCGAAGAACCUUACCUGGAUUUGACAUCCUUUGAAUAUUCUAGAGAUAGAAUAGGCUCGCAAGAGACAAAGAGACAGGUGCUGCACGGCUGUCGUCAGCU
rnacentral:rRNA from 1 species